rnacentral:rRNA from 1 species
UACAGAGGUCUCAAGCGUUGUUCGGAUUCAUUGGGCGUAAAGGGUGCGUAGGUGGCGUCGUAAGUCAGGUGUGAAAUCUCGGGGCUCAACCCCGAAACUGCACUUGAUACUGCGAUGCUUGAGUACUGGAGAGGAGAUUGGAAUUUACGGUGUAGCAGUGAAAUGCGUAGAUAUCGUAAGGAAGACCAGUGGCGAAGGCGGCUCACUGGCCCGUUACUGACGCUGAGGCACGAAAGCGUGGGGAGCAAACAGG